GGCCGGGUAGCACAACGGUUAGUGCGUCUGCUAAACCUCACGAAGCGAGAGUAGCUUUCUGCAGAAGAUCCCUGUUCGACUCGGGGUCAAGCCG